ensembl:lncRNA
CCUCCUUGCAGGUCCUCGCAGCGCAGGAUUGCCGCUGUUAAAACUAAACAGAGCUCCCUGAAAGGCUCAGUCAAUGACAUUGGACAUAUUUGUCACAUGACGUAGGAUUCCAGUAGCGAACGUAAUUUAACCCUUUCUGCACCGCUGGGUGACUGAGACGUUGACAGAUUGUUUUUUUCUUUCUAUCGGGUUUGUUUUUCUUUACUCGAAGAGAUCAAAUUACUGGUGGGGACAAUUCAAUAACCGCCCUUGCUUUGAAGACUACCUGGAGUACCUGGACCUCCUCUCCUGGAAUCAAUCACAUCAGUGUGACUGCUUCUUCACAGAAUCACACUGUGAAAAGAGCUGUUCUUAGUUCUACUUUCUGAUCCUUUAUACAUGACCAACACGGCGUGACCAGAAAAAAAACGGCGGAUGACUGAAGCGGGCGGCCAAAGAGUAAACUUUCAAAACUUAUCACACAUUUGAGUUCCAUGUGUGACAACUGCAAGUGUCCAGAGUGAGGACAGACUGAGGGACCCACUGCUGCACAUCAUCUGUGAGGCUUUGCACCCCUGAUGAUCCACCAGGACAAACUCAGCAGUGUGUGAGGAAGAGGAGGAGGAAGAGCCAGCAGCAGCUGACAGAUGGAGAGAAUAGACAGACUGUUCCCUGUUUGUGAAGGACUGCUAGAAAAGUUUAACAUCACUAAUUGUCUGUCCUGAAUCAGUCUUAUUAGGAAAUGUUCAAAUAAUUUUAUCAUUCCAGUGUUUUCAGUACUCAGGCCCUUCAAGUUACACACUAUGAAAGGCAGCAACAAGUUUAAUAUUCAGAAACCUAAAGUAUGUAUCAGCAGCAGAACGGAGCUAAAAAUAAAUGUUUGUUUCAGUUCUAUGAAGCUUUGAGUAUUUUGGAUUAGUAGCACUGCUGUGUUUGUUGUAUCGUAUUGCUGUAAUUGUUUAUAUGCUUUAUGUAUUUUGAGGUAAGUUGAUCUAUAGUGUUACAUCAUAUUCCAUAAGGAUGUUAUGUGUUUGUAUACUUUCUGCCCAGUUUGACCCAUUUAGCAGAAGUCAGCCUGUUUAAGGCUCUGAUAUCUAUUCUGUAUGACUUAAAUCGUUGAAAACGAUGUUCCGGGAGUCCGCUGUUCUCGCCGGCUCUAAUAAUCCUCGACCUCGCUGUCUGCUAUGGAGCUGGCAGGUCACAGACGUCUCCGAAAAUGUCGGAGCGCGUUUGGAAAUAUAUGAUAUCUUGAUAAAUUGAGCAGAUAUUUGAAGUUUACACAGCUACAUUCUAGCUUGAAAAUAACUUAAAAGUUUAUUUUGUGACCCAGAAAGAGUAAUAUUUAAAAGUUUUUAGCCCCGCUCGUCCGCCAUUGCCGCGUUUGAGUUUUGGACGAAAUGCAUUCUGGGAUAUUUAGCUGUAUCAAGUCCACACAAGUCACCACUGAUGCAUGCUCGAUAAAACGGGCGGAGCGAGAACACAUCCGGGACUUUUUCGCGUUCUCGGCUUGAUGCAUACUUCGAAUUGGAACAGUACUUGGUCUCCGACUGAUGACGUAUCACGAGUACAUGAGAACGCAAGUACGCAUAUUGAGAAAGGCCCUUCCCAUUUAACAAGCCUCUCACUUCCGCACUUCUUGUACUUCCUAAUACGCGCCGUACGUAGUACGCCAACUGCGCGUACUCCGAAGCGUGCGGUUGCUGGAUUGGGACACAGCCUCAUGUCGUGUCCAAAUUCAUGGGCUGCAUCCUCUUGAGGACCCGGCCUUCGCGGUCUACGUGGGCCUAUUCUGACAAACCAUCCUACUUUGGCAAAACGUCCUACCGUAUGUUUAUGCACAUUUCUGCUGUCACAGAGUAAUUCCAGCACCAAUUUAAGUAGGUAUGACGGUUUGCCACUUAACUUUGCCCAUCAGAGUAUACUUGUAGCUCGUAUGCAUACAGCCAGGAUGGUUUGGCACUUAAUUUUACCCGUCAGAGUAUGUGUGUAGCUGUUAUUAACAAAGGUAGGAUGAUUUGCCACUGAAUUUUAGCUGUUAAAGUAUGCUUCUAGCUCAGAUUAACAAAAGUAGGACGAUUUGCCACUAAAUUUUAGCAGUUUAAGUAUGCUUGUAGGUGACAUUCACAAAGGUAGGAUGGUUUGGCAGUUAAUUUUACCAGUCAGAGUAUUUUUCUAGCUAAUAUUCACAAAGGUAGGACGGUUUGCCACUGAAUUUCGUGUUGUGCGCAGAAACAACGGGUAGGAUGGUUUGCUGGGUAGGAUGAUUUGCCAGGUAGGAUGGAUUCCCAGAACACCCCGGGUCCUCAGAAGGUCGGGUAAGCUUGAAGUAAACAGCUGUGAUAUUGGACGGUCUAGCCUUGCGAUUUCGUCACUGCUGUCUUGGUGGAGUUUAAUAAACUCUGUCGUCUGCUCCUUGCUAUCUAAAUUAUAACAGGACACUGGUGUAAAUUCUUGACCAUCUCACACUUCUGUUUAAUCAGUUUUCUGUUUGAUGAUUAUUCAGCUGUGUGAAAACCAUCCAGGAGAUUAAUAAUGUUUUAUUUGAUCUAAUCUAAUAUCUUUAAUCUCAGCCAAACCAAUUUACUCACAAACCAAUAAAACACUGAAAAAGCCAAAC